rnacentral:rRNA from 1 species
AUUGAACGCUGGCGGCAUGCCUUACACAUGCAAGUCGAACGGCAGCGCGGGGGCAACCCUGGCGGCGAGUGGCGAACGGGUGAGUAAUACUUCGGAACGUGCCCAGUAGCGGGGGAUAACGCAGCGAAAGUUGUGCUAAUACCGCAUACGCUCUACGGAGGAAAGAGGGGGAUCGCAAGACCUCUCACUAUUGGAGCGGCCGAAGCCUGAUUAGCUAGUUGGUGGGGUAAAAGCCUACCAAGGCGACGAUCAGUAGCUGGUUUGAGAGAACGACCAGCCACACUGGGACUGAGACACGGCCCAGACUCCUACGGGAGGCAGCAGUGGGGAAUUUUGGACAAUGGGGGCAACCCUGAUCCAGCCAUGCCGCGUGCGGGAAGAAGGCCUUCGAGUUGUAAACCGCUUUUGUUCGGGAAGAAAUAGCCUCCGCCAAUACCGGGGGUUGAUGACGGUACCGGAAGAAUAAGCACCGGCUAACUACGUG